GAUGAACGCUGGCGGCGUGCUUAACACAUGCAAGUCGAACGGAAAGGCCCAAGCUUGCUUGGGUACUCGAGUGGCGAACGGGUGAGUAACACGUGGGUGAUCUGCCCUGCACUUCGGGAUAAGCCUGGGAAACUGGGUCUAAUACCGGAUAGGACGUUGGUUUGGAUGCCAUUGUGGAAAGUUUUUUCGUUGUGGGAUGAGCUCGCGGGGUAUCAGCGAGUUGGUAGGGUAAUGGCCUACCAAGGCGUCGACGGGUAGACGAACUGAGAGGGUGUAAGGCCAGACUGGAGGGGAGACAGGGGCUAGACUCCUAAGGGAGGCAGCCGUAGGGAAUGGGCGGCAAGGGGGGAAAGAGUGACGGAGCAACGCCGCGUGAGUGACGACGGUCGUCGGGUCGUAAACGUCUGUUUGGAGGGAAGAACAAAUGUGCAAGUAACUAUGCACGUCUUGACGGUACCUAAUGAGAAAGCCACGGCUAACUACGUG
rnacentral:rRNA from 1 species